UGGGGAAUAUUGCACAAUGGGCGCAAGCCUGAUGCAGCCAUGCCGCGUGUAUGAAGAAGGCCUUCGGGUUGUAAAGUACUUUCAGCGGGGAGGAAGGGAGUAAAGUUAAUACCUUUGCUCAUUGACGUUACCCGCAGAAGAAGCACCGGCUAACUCCGUGCCAGCAGCCGCGGUAAUACGGAGGGUGCAUGCGUUAAUCGGAAUUACUGGGCGUAAAGCGCACGCAGGCGGUUUGUUAAGUCAGAUGUGAAAUCCCCGGGCUCAACCUGGGAACUGCAUCUGAUACUGGCAAGCUUGAGUCUCGUAGAGGGGGGUAGAAUUCCAGGUGUAGCGGUGAAAUGCGUAGAGAUCUGGAGGAAUACCGGUGGCGAAGGCGGCCCCCUGGACGAAGACUGACGCUCAGGUGCGAAAGCGUGGGGAGCAAACAGG
rnacentral:rRNA from 1 species